CCUACGGGGGGCUGCAGUGGGGAAUAUUGGACAAUGGGGGCAACCCUGAUCCAGCCAUGCCGCGUGUGUGAAGAAGGCCCUCGGGUUGUAAAGCACUUUCAGUGAGGAAGAACGCCUGGUGGUUAAUACCCAUCAGGAAAGACAUCACUCACAGAAGAAGCACCGGCUAACUCCGUGCCAGCAGCCGCGGUAAUACGGAGGGUGCGAGCGUUAAUCGGAAUUACUGGGCGUAAAGCGCGCGUAGGUGGCUUGAUAAGCCGGUUGUGAAAGCCCGGGCUCAACCUGGGAACGGCAUCCGGAACUGUCAAGCUAGAGUGCAGGAGAGGAAGGUAGAAUUCCCGGUGUAGCGGUGAAAUGCGUAGAGAUCGGGAGGAAUACCAGUGGCGAAGGCGGCCUUCUGGACUGACACUGACACUGAGGUGCGAAAGCGUGGGUAGCAAACAGGAUUAGAUACCCUAGUAGUC
rnacentral:rRNA from 1 species